CUUUUGUGGGGUGCUCGAGUGGCGAACGGGUGAGUAACACGUGAGUAACCUGCCCUUGACUUUGGGAUAACUUCAGGAAACUGGGGCUAAUACCGGAUAGGAGCCAUCUUUAGUGUGGUGGUUGGAAAGUUUUUUCGGUGUAGGAUGAGCUCGCGGCCUAUCAGCUUGUUGGUGGGGUAGUGGCUUACCAAGGCUUUGACGGGUAGCCGGCCUGAGAGGGUGACCGGCCACAUUGGGACUGAGAUACGGCCCAG
rnacentral:rRNA from 1 species